rnacentral:rRNA from 1 species
CGUGUGUGAGAAGGCCUUAGGGUUGUAAAGCUCUUUUUUCGGGGAGGAAAUCUGAGUGUCUGUGCCGAAUAGCCGGGACUUUACCCCUAGAGAACGGCCAA